CACGCUAUCACAUGUAGUACAUGUACAGUAAAGCCCAUUUUCCACUAAUUUGUUCGCGCGAACAGUAAAAACAGUAGGAAAUGAUCAAACUUUUUCGUGGCGAAUUUUUUCGCUGACCAAUCACAUUGCCAAGAUUUGUUUUUCGUUUCGCGCGAACAAAUUCGCGAAAAAUGGGCUUUUAAAAAUGCGUCAUUGCAAUUUUCGGGGCCAUGGGACGAGUUUGAUUCAAUUAUCAUUGAAAAGGGGGGUGUUUCUUGUCCUAGAAAAGGGGGGAGGGGGUUCGAUAUGUAAUCCCAAAAUCCAAGACGAGAAACCGUCGCAAUGCAAGGAAAUUGAAGGGCACAAAGUUGGCAAUAACGAAGAUCUCCAAGGAACUAUAUCUGG